rnacentral:lncRNA from 1 species
UCUCUCUCUCUCUCUCUCUCUCGUCUAUCUCUUUCUUCUUCUUCUUCUCCACCUUUUUUUCGUCUUCUUGUUUUUCUUUUCUCGAGAGAUGGCCGGAUCCGUCUGGCGGCGGCGGCCGAGCACCGAUUGGGGGUUUUGCGGUUGCCGCUGUCUCGCCUUCUUUUCCCCUUUUUCGCGUGCAAGGGGAACAGAGAGCAGAGGACGGAAUGUUCGAUGGCUCCAGGCUCCCCCAGUCUUAUACAGCCACUAGGGUUAUGAAUCAACCGGUUUUGUUGGACCGCCUCAAAUCCAA